rnacentral:rRNA from 1 species
CCUACGGUGGGCAGCAGUGGGGGAUAUUGCACAAUGGGGGAAACCCUGAUGCAGCGACGCCGCGUGUGGGAAGACGGUCCUCUGGAUUUUAAACCACUGUCCCCAGGGACGAAGAUGACGGUACCUGGGGAGGACGCUCCGGCUAACUACGUGCCAGCAGCCGCGGUAAUACGUAGGGAGCGAGCGUUGUCCGGAAUUACUGGGUGUAAAGGGAGCGUAGGCGGGACUGCAAGUUGGGUGUCAAAUCUACCGGCUCAACCGGUAGCCGCACUCAAAACUGCAGUUCUUGAGUGAAGUAGAGGCAGGCGGAAUUCCUAGUGUAGCGGUUAAAUGCGUAGAUAUUAGGAGGAACACCAGUGGCGAAGGCGGCCUGCUGGGCUUUUACUGACGCUGAGGCUCGAAAGUGUGGGGAGCAAACAGGAUUAGAUACCCGAGUAGUC